rnacentral:rRNA from 1 species
GAGUUUGAUCCUGGCUCAGAUUGAACGCUGGCGGCAUGCCUUACACAUGCAAGUCGAACGGCAGCAUGAUCUAGCUUGCUAGAUUGAUGGCGAGUGGCGAACGGGUGAGUAAUACAUCGGAACGUGCCCUGUAGUGGGGAUAACUAGUCGAAAGAUUAGCUAAUACCGCAUACGACCUGAGGGUGAAAGUGGGGGACCGCAAGGCCUCAUGCUAUAGGAGCGGCCGAUGUCUGAUUAGCUAGUUGGUGGGGUAAAGGCCCACCAAGGCGACGAUCAGUAGCUGGUCUGAGAGGACGAUCAGCCACACUGGGACUGAGACACGGCCCAGACUCCUACGGGAGGCAGCAGUGGGGAAUUUUGGACAAUGGGCGAAAGCCUGAUCCAGCAAUGCCGCGUGUGUGAAGAAGGCCU